GAGUUUGAUCAUGGCUCAGGAUGAACGCUGGCGGCGUGCCUAAUACAUGCAAGUCGAGCGAACGGACGAGAAGCUUGCUUCUCUGAUGUUAGCGGCGGACGGGUGAGUAACACGUGGAUAACCUACCUAUAAGACUGGGAUAACUUCGGGAAACCGGAGCUAAUACCGGAUGAUAUUUUGAACCGCAUGGUUCAAAAGUGAAAGACGGUCUUGCUGUCACUUAUAGAUGGAUCCGCGCUGCAUUAGCUAGUUGGUAAGGUAACGGCUUACCAAGGCAACGAUGCAUAGCCGACCUGAGAGGGUGAUCGGCCACACUGGAACUGAGACACGGUCCAGACUCCUACGGGAGGCAGCAGUAGGGAAUCUUACGCAAUGGGCGAAAGCCUGACGGAGCAACGCCGCGUGAGUGAUGAAGGUCUUCGGAUCGUAAAACUCUGUUAUUAGGGAAGAACAUAUGUGUAAGUAACUGUGCACAUCUUGACGGUUACCUAAUCAGAAAGCCACGGC
rnacentral:rRNA from 1 species